rnacentral:rRNA from 1 species
GACGAAGGGGGCUAGCGUUGUUCGGAAUUACUGGGCGUAAAGCGCGUGUAGGCGGUUGUCCAAGUUGGAUGUGAAAGCCUUGAGCUUAACUCAAGAAAUGCAUUCAGGACUGGAUGGCUAGAGGACCGGAGAGGAUAGUGGAAUUCCCAGUGUAGUGGUGAAAUACGUAGAGAUUGGGAAGAACACCAGUGGCGAAGGCAGCCUCCUGGGCCAGCACUGACGCUCAUGCACGAAAGCGUGGGGAGCAAACAGG